GCUGGGCAUGGUGGCGGGUGCCUGUAAUCCCAGCUACUCAGGAGGCUGAGGCAGGAGAAUAGCUUGAACCCAGGAGGCGGAGGUUGCAGUGAGCCGAGAUUGUGCCACUGCGCUCCAGCCUGGGCAACAGAGCAAGACUCUGUCUCCA
rnacentral:SRP_RNA from 2 species